GGGAAGAUGGCCGAGCGGUCUAAGGCGCCACGUUCAGGUCGUGGUCUCUUCGGAGGGGUGGUUUCGAAUCCCACUCUUCUCA
rnacentral:tRNA from 1 species